UGGCCACCCCAGUGAGCAGCAGCAACCUGCUUGGACCCCCUUUCACGCUGUGGAAACUUUGUUCUUUCGCUCUUCACAAUAAAUCUUUCUGCUGCUCACUCUUUGGGUCUGUGUCAUCUUUAAGAGCUAUAACACUCACCGCGAAGGUCUGCAGCUCCAUUCUGGAAGUCAGUGAGACCACGAACCCACCAGAAGGAACAAACUCCGGACACAUCUUGGAAACUAUGAAGGGACUAUCGCCAAGUGGAUUGAUGCCAUCAAGCUACAGAUGGUCUUACAAAUGGAACACCAAAUGAGCUCUACUAACAAUUUCUACUGUGGACCACUGGACUGACCCACUGACCCUUUGGCUGGCCUAGAGAGAUCUGCUCUGUAGGACACUACCACUGCCACUGCAGGGCCCCUUCUUUG
rnacentral:lncRNA from 10 species